GCCCCCCGGCUGCCUCUCUCUCUCUCUCUCCUCUCUCUCGUUCUAGGGUUUCCUCGGUCUUCGAUUUGCUGAAGGAAUUUAGGGCUGGGGAGGAUUCGAGCGCGCGAGAGAGAUCUGGGGAUGAGCGGAAACCCUAACCCAGCCGCCGACGCGAAGCCGGCGGGCGCCGGUCGAUUCCGGGGCCUCGGCAUGCACCAUUUGGCGGAUGAACACCAUGUCCUGCCCUCCGUGAUUCUUCCGGCUCAGAUCGACGACCCCAGCGCUGUCGGCCGUAGCGGUGAGUUGAUUGCGGCUGCCGACGCUCAGACCUUGCAGCAGUACCACGAAGCGGAUCACAGCAGCGGCAGCCAUGGCAUGGAGGAGGAUGGGGUUGGGGCCGUGGAGAACGAGGGAAUGGAGACGGAAGAGCCGGCUGAUCCGAGUCAUCUCGGUGAUGCCCAAGGUCUGAUCGCGCCGCAAGUGGGCGGUAACCAGCUGACGCUCUCUUUUCAGGGAGAAGUCUUCGUUUUUGAUUCCGUAUCCCCAGAAAAGGUUCAAGCUGUGCUUUUGUUGCUAGGAGGUCGGGAGAUGCAGACUAGCUUGAAUCCUUUUCCAUCAUCUUCUAUGCAGAACAAGCGCAUGAAUGUUCCACAUAGAGUUGCAUCCUUGAUGCGGUUCCGGGAGAAGCGGAAAGAGCGGAAUUUUGAAAAGAAAAUACGUUACACUGUUCGCAAAGAGGUCGCGCUGAGGAUGCAACGAAAUAGGGGUCAAUUUACAUCAUCUAAAUCGAAGACUGAAGAUUCCACAGGUGGUGCUACCACUUCUGAUGCUAACCAAAAUUGGGGUUCUCCAGAGAAUAAGAUCCCAGCGGCAUCUGCAUUGAUUUCAUAUUUCUGGAUUUUUCAGAAGUGUGAAAUAUUAGGAGGUGAUGUGUUUUAGAAGAUGUCACCACUGUGGCAUCAAUGCAAAGUCUACGCCGAUGAUGCGCCGUGGGCCUGAUGGACCGAGGACUUUAUGUAAUGCAUGUGGACUUGUGUGGGCAAACAAGGGAAUAAUGAGGGAUCUAUCGAAAAAUCCAUCUCCAGCUAUUCUCAAUGCUUCGCCAGAACCAAAAGAAGGGCAGAACAACUCUGCCGAAGCUGCCAUCUCCCAGUCGAUCGCUGUGGCAGCAAACGGUCAUGACACAUCAUGAGAGGUGCUGUGCCAUCAGAACCAAAGCCUCCAGUGAAGAAGAGAUGGCUGGUUGAACAGGGGAAUUAAUCCUCCUUGGCCCUUCCAGAUUGUGUAAUGUUAUUUAACAUGUACCAUAUUCUGAGAGUUAAUAUUAGGAUCUUUCUGGCUCCUUGCUGGUAUUAAUACUAAGGCAACCUUGUUACAGUUAAAUGUUAAUUUGUGGGUGAUUCAUCUUGCAAAAUAUCA